CUCCAGUUUCACAUUGUUCAUCAUCAACGUUGGAUUAUUUUCUUUAUUUGAAAUUUUUUUAUGAUUAGUAUUUUUACUGUUAGUAUUGAUAAAACAUCAAUAGUAUUAUAUGCGUGACUUAUAUUUUUUAUUUUUUAAGAUAUUUUUAAAUAAAAUAGACGUUUAAAGUUGGACACAUAAACUUAUGACUGUGCUUAUU
rnacentral:pre_miRNA from 1 species